rnacentral:lncRNA from 1 species
CCUCAACUAGUCACGGUGAGGUUGCUGUAGUUUGACGAGCACAUAAACAUGAGCCCUAAGGAUUCUUGUGGUGCAGAUUGGCUGUAGUAGGUUUGCUGUCGGAUUAGAGUUGCAUCUAGAUGGGAUCUAUCGACCUUGAUAGAUUAGGAGUGAUCCUAUGUGAUUUAUAAGAUUAAGUUCGAAAGAUCUUGGCCAGGGCAGUUCUGGAAAAAGAGUUUUCCA